rnacentral:lncRNA from 1 species
GAACACUGGUCUAAACAAUCUGACCACCAAGCAUUUGGAUUAGGAACCUUAUAGCAACUGCAACAUACUUUAGACACUUCACAACAACACCAUAAUAAUUAGGCACUGGAUUAAAGCAUAAUAAUAAGGGAACUACUGAAAGUUUCUCUUAUAGCAAUUAAACAAAAAUGUUAGGGACUCUAGAGAAAUUGAAUAAUUGGCAUAAACCUUAUAGCAAUUGGAACAUAUGAUAUAGACCUUAAANCAACUGAAAAAAAAAAGAACUGACAAAGCCUUGACCUACUCAGGACAUNUUUUCCUUAUACUCUUGAUUUACCAAUUUCCGUUAUGCUUANAGCAAUACCAAAACAGCCCCCAAAACUUAUUCCAAGCUCCAAACAAAAUCAAGAGGAAUCAAAACUAACAGCCCAGCAAUAGCAGAACAAGUUCUAGUACACAGAAUGCCAUAUAGGAAUUGAACAGAAAACAUGGAACGUACUAACCUGCCUGGUCUCCCCGUUGUGCUCACAGUCUCAACCCAAAACCCC